CAUCUUUUGUCUGGAAAUUCCGGAAGCUGCCGUGGUCCCCACGCUGCUGCUCAGAUCAUGUGGUUGGAUUGUACGUCCUUGAAGCUUAUAAGUAGAGAGUUUUGGGAAGGAGAAUCUAGAGCCAAGCCACAACAGUUCUCUCCUUAGUCCACUCCAUUCUCUUUUCUCCCAGCUAUGCUGCCACAGUGUGCUAUGGGUUUACAAGAGCAACAAAAGAUGAAUAAAUCUCUGUGGCUGUCCAGUAUGGGAAUCGAAAUCCUUGACUUUGGCAUUACAAGGCUGUGCUCUAACCAAGUGAGAUAACUGGUCAGCCCCAUUUUCACUUUCAUGUAUUAAAAAUAUUUUUAAUUUUC